rnacentral:rRNA from 1 species
UGAUUAGAGUUUAAAAAAAUUUAAGAAAUCGAUUGGAGGGCAAGUCUGGUGCCAGCAGCCGCGGUAAUUCCAGCUCCAAUAGUGUAUAUUAAAGUUGUUGUGUUUAAAAAGCUCGUAGUCGAAUUAUAAGUUUUUUAUAAUAGUUUUUAAAAAGACUAAUAUAAAAAAAGGAGAAAGGUUUUUUUAAUCUUUUAUUUACUUUGAAAAAAAUAGAGUGUUUAAAGCAAAAGUUAAUUAAUGUAUAAUGAAGCAUAGGAUAAUAAUGAGGAGAAUAAAUUUUUGAGAACAGUAUUAAAAAGGGAAAUUGGGGUAAUUUAGACAAAAUCGGGAGAGGUGAAAAUUCAUGAUCGAUUUUGGAUAAACUAAAGCGAAAGCAUUUUACUCAUAUUCUUUUAUUUGAUCAAGAACGAAAGUUAGGGGAUCGAAGUCGAUUAGAUACCGUCGUAGUCCUAACUAUAAACUAUGUCAACUGGGGAUUGGAUGAAAAUAAACAAGAAAGAUUGAUUUUCRAUUCGGAAGUUUAUCUUAAUUGUUACUCUCUUAUUCAUGGACYUCAGGGGGAGUAUGGUCACAAGGCUGAAACUUAAAGGAAUUGACGGAAGGGCACACCAGGAGUGGAGCCUGCGGCUUAAUUUGACUCAACACGGGAAAACUUACCAAGACCGUACAUUAAAAGGAUUGACAGAUUAAUAGUUUUUUCAUGAUAUGAUGGUGAGUGGUGCAUGGCCGUUCUUAGUUGGUGGAGUGAUUUGUCUGGUUAAUUCCGAUAACGAACGAGACUUUAUCUUAUUAAUUGGUUUAGUAAGAGUUUACUUUUACUAAUAUUAUUUUUAUAUACUAUUUAAAAGGACAGACUCUCAUUUUGAAUCAAUUUAAUCAUUGAAUUGGUUUAAAGAAAGAGGAGGAAGCAUGAAGCAAUAACAGGUCUGUGAUGCCCUUAGACAUCUUGGGCUGCACGCGUGCUACAAUGGAAUUUAUAGAGAGUAAUUUAUUGAGAUAUAAGGAAGUUUUAAUAUAGAAAUGUAUUAUUAUGAAAUUGUAUUUUUACCAAUAUUGAAAAAUGGAGGAAAUCUUUUAAAAGGUGUACAUGACUGGGAUUAAUGAUUGGAAUUAUUUGUUAUGAACGAGGAAUUCCUUGUAAGAUUUUGUCAUAGCAAAAGUUGAAUAAGUCCCUGCCCUUUGUACACACCGCCCGUC